UGUAACUGUUGUGUUUGCAUCAAGUCCCCUGACCCACAUGCAGAAUCACUCAGAGGGCUCACGCUUAUUUACAGAGUCCCUGUGAUAAAUGGGCUCAGCUGAAGGCAGUUCCAGGAUCUGUGAUUCUGGAGGAAGACGGGAGCAGCUAGCCGGAGCGAGGGACAUCAGCUGAGAGGAAUCUUUCCAGAGCUGACAGAGGCGAUAUCGGCGCUGCUGUGAUUAAAGCUGCCGUCUCUGUUUCCAUCAGGAGCCUCUUCCACCUCGGCUCUAUGCAGCAGAAACAUCACCAGCGGCUGGAUGGCCCUCCGGAGGGUUCAGCACGGUAACGGCCAAGAUGUGCGCUGAGAGAGGAGGAAGAGCAUUUUAUCAGAGCCAUAGAUCAGGUUGGGAGUGUACAGCUAUCCUUUGCACACCGUAAUAUGAGGCAACUGCAUGGUGUCCAAUUUGAUUUGUACGAUUUAAUUCCAGCUUAUUACAGCUUCUGUUGCAGUUUGUUACUCAUACUGGAGCUUUGAGCCAUCAAGAGCCAUCAAGAUGACACUUUGUGCCAGAUUGAUUGCUUUAAUCUGGAAACUGAUUGCAGUUUUGGAGUUUU